AUGGAUGCACCUUCUCAAACUGCAUUCAUGCUCUAUUAAUUUAAAAGUCAUACAAAAUCAGGAGAACUAGGAACUUCCGCUGACUAAACUUAGAGAAAGGUGAGUAAACACCAAAGCGAGUUUUGAAUUUGGGACCCGUACAUUUCAUCAUUAAUUACCCUUAUGGUGCUCAGACUUAGUAGUUGUAUUUUAUAUUAUCCAAGAGGAUCAGUUAUACUUACAUUUUGACAGGUGCACCCGUCGUUUCCAUGCUUACAUAAAUUUGAAGAUCUUGUGCUUCUGGACUUCUUACUCCUGUUAAUCAGAAAUAAUUUUGGAUGAGAAUGAGCAUACCGAAAUUACGAAAAGCGUGAUUCUACAAUCAGAAAGCUAGGGCAAUGUGUUGUAAACUAAGGUAUCAUCUCCAUUUCAGUUUUCAGUUCCUUUUGAAAAUUGGACUUAUGAAAUUGCUAAAGACUAAUUAAACUUGGUAAUAAUCAUCCAAUCCAUUCCAAUAGGUCUUUGUUGUCUAUGUGUUAUGAGGAUUUUCGUUAUUAAAAUUGCUAAAUGUAAUAUGCAGUUUAAAUUCAUGCUGCUGGGCUUAUGGUCUUGUCUCCUUUCUGUGUCUUAUAUACAAAGCAACUUUCUACUUCAAUAUAUCUUCUGCUUAUCUAUGACAUAGUCCAAGAAACUUACAUUAUCUGUUCUAAUUCACUAUUCCUUAGAGGACCCUCUCCAGAAGACACAAUCUGAUAAUACAUCAGCCAAGCUUUAUAUCUCCUCGCCAUCUUUACCAUCAU
rnacentral:lncRNA from 1 species